rnacentral:rRNA from 1 species
AAAAACUUCGGUAAAACGAAGUGAAGGUCCGAACCGGUCAACCUUGAGAAGUUGUCGGAUGAAUUGUGGUUAGGAGCGAAAGACUAAUCAAACCCUGUGAUAGCUGGUUCUUUCCGAAAUAUAUUUGGGUAUAGCCUCGGAUGCUGAUUUGUGGAGGUAGAGCACUAAAUAAGCUAGGGCCCCUACCGGGGUACUGAACUUAAUUAAACUCCGAAUACCACAGAGUGAAGUCCGGGAGUCAGACUGUGGGGGAUAACCUUCAUAGUCGAGAGGAGAAUAAUCCAUACCAUCAGUUAAGGUCCCAAAAUAUGGCUCAGUGAAAAAGGAUGUGAUUUUGCUUAGACAAUGGGGAUGUUGGCUUAGAGGCAGCCAUCAUUUAAACAGUGCGUAACAGCUGACCCAUCGAGCGAAAUUGCGCCGAAAAUGAUCGGGACUUAAGCCAUAUACCGAAGCUAUGGGUGCACCGCAAGGUGCGCAGUAGGAAAGCGUCCCAAGUGCAGCGAAGUGGAAGGGGUAACCGACCAUGGAGCGCUUGGGAGUGAGAAUGCAGACAUAAGUAACGAUAAAGAUGGUUAAAUUCCAUCUCGCCGAAAUCCCAAGGAUUCCUGGGGAAGGUUCGUCCUCCCAGGGUUAGUCGGGUGCUAAGAUGAGGCCGUAAGGAGUAGUCGAUGCCAAUCUGGUUUAAUAUUCCAGAACCACUUUACUUGCGUUCGAUCUAUGGAGUGACGGAGAAAGUUAACGUGGCAACGCGUUGAAUCGUUGUCCAAGCUUGUCGGCUGCCCGGGGAUAAAAGACUGGGUAAGGCUUAAGAGCGACGGGACCCUGAGGCCACGGCUGAUGGGGAUCGCGUGAUACUACGCUUCCAAGAAAAGCUUCGUAGUUAGCAAGUGGAGUGCCCGUACCGUAAACCGACACAGGUGGGAAAGAUGAGUAUUCUAAGGCGCGCAGGUUAAUUCUCUCUAAGGAACUCGGCAAAUUAGCCCCGUAUCUUCGGUAGAAGGGGUGCCCCGCAAGGGGCCGCAGUUAAUUGCGUCAACCGACUGUUUAGCAAAAACACAGCACUCUGCUAAGUCGCAAGACGACGUAUAGGGUGUGACACGUGACCAAUGCGGAAAGGUGAAAGUCUAGGGUGCAAGCUCUGGAUCUAAGCCCCCGUGAAUGUCGGCCGUAACUAUAACGGUCCUAAGGUAGCGAAAUUCCUUGUCGGGUAAGUUCCGACCCGCACGAAUCGUGUAACGAGUUGACGACUGUCUCGGAGAGAGGCCUGGUGAAAUUGUAGUGGCGGUGAAGAUGCCGCCUACCCGCAGCAGGACGGAAAGACCCUAUGCACCUUUACUGUAAGCUGUUAUUGUCGCUUGAUUUUUAAUACGUAGAAUAGGUGGGAGACUUCGAAGCCCGGUCUCAGGAUCGGGCUGAGUCACAACGUGAAAUACCACUUUUUAAUUGUUAGGCGUCUAACCUCAUACCAUUAACUGGUUGUGGGACAGUGAUAGCAGGUCAGUUUUUCUGGGGCGGAAUCCUCCCAAAGAGUAACGGAGGAUUACGAAGGUUCCCUCG